GGAUAUAGCUCAGUGGUAGAGCUGCAUGCUUAGCAUGCACGAGGUCCUGGGUUCAAUCGCCAGUAUCUCCA
rnacentral:tRNA from 1 species